rnacentral:lncRNA from 1 species
AGGAGAUCAGGAGGUGGUGGCCAAGUGCUCCCCCACCAGCGACCGGCAGUGUCAGUGCAAAAAGGGGAGCUUCUACUGCAACUCUGUGGACUGCGUGGAAAACUGCCUGCGGUGUAAAAGGUCCUGGGGGCACAGGCGUGGGCCCCUCCUGUCCUCCCAGUAGUACAGACCCCAGGCUCCCAGUGGUGGUGGAGACAGUCCAAACACACAGGCAGUGAGGACUCUGUGAGGGGGGGGGGGGGGGUAGAGGGCGUGGGAGGGGACCAGGCUCUCAAGCAGAGGCCCGGCAAGGAGGGUAGGGAGCCAUAGAGGGUUCUGGGGGGAAGAGCAGUCCAGGCAGAACGGUAGGACCGCGCCCUGCGGCAGUGCGGGACGGCUGCUGUCCCCGUGGGGGUCCUGUGGCUGCGGUAACAAAGCGCCACAGCUGGGCAGCUUCGAGAAAACCAACAGAAGUGUGUUCUCUCCCAGCUCUGGACACCAGGCGCCUGAAAUCCAGGUGUGAGCAGGGCCGUGCUCCCUCCGCAGGCUCUAGGGGAGGACCCUGCCUCGCCUCUUCCAGCCUCUGACGCUGUGGGCGCCCCGUGAUGCUCCUUCGCUUACCUUCCGUCUGCUUCUGUCUCUGCGAGGUCACCUCUUCUUGCGUGUGUGUCUCGAU